AGCGAACGCUGGCGGCAGGCCUAACACAUGCAAGUCGAACGAACUCUUCGGAGUUAGUGGCGGACGUGUGAGUAACACGUGGGAAAGUGCCUUUAGGUUCGGAAUAACUCAGGGAAACUUGUGCUAAUACCGAAUGUGCCCUUCGGGGGAAAGACUUAUCGCCUUUAGAGCGGCCCGCGUCUGAUUAGCUAGUUGGUGAGGUAAAGGCUCACCAAGGCGACGAUCAGUAGCUGGUCUGAGAGGAUGAUCAGCCACAUUGGAAAUGAGACACGGCCCACACUCCUACGGGAGGCAGCAGUGGGGAAUCUUGCGCAAUGAGCGAAAGCCUGACGCAGCCAUGCCGCGUGAAUGAUGAAGGUCUUAGGAUUGUGAAUUUCUUUCAGCGGGGACGAUAAUGACGGUACCCGGAGAAGAAGCCCCGGCUAACUACGUG
rnacentral:rRNA from 1 species